ACUUCAGAGAGAGCCAUAGCCAGCCCGCCGCUCCCCGCCGCUGCCUCUUCGCUCGUCUCCGUCGAGUCCGUCACGCAGAUCGGGAGAGCUUGGUUUCAUGACUCUCAUCUAGCACAAGCUCCCGGUCUGACUCAAGCCGAGUGGGCUGGGCCUGGGCCGCAUCACGCAGGCACACGAGCUGGGAUGGGAUCAUUUGGACUCUUCCAGUUCGCGCCUUAUAUAAUGACCUCACGCACGUUGGCUCGUCAAUCAUCAUCGGAGCAGACACGAGAGCGGCGAUCUCAUCUCAGGCGCAACGCUCUGCAAGUCUCGGAGCGCUGCCGGAGCUGGUCGCUGCACGGCGAGCUAUUCGGCGAUGGAUCAGGGGAGCUCUUCGUCGAUGUCCUCGUGCUCUUCUUCCACGACGGCGUCUACCGGGCCCGAUCAAAGAAGAUUGUCGGCGGCGGCACCGACGUUCGACCCGUCUAUGGCCUCGAGUUCGUCCAUGGCGGCUACGACGGCGGGCGUUCCAGGGAGCUCGCCGGCAAUGGCGCCUCUGCUUACCUCUGCGAGGAUGUCCUCGGGCUCUUCCGCAAGUUCCACUACUUCGUUCGACCCAGCAGGAUCGUCGGCGUUGGCACCUGCGCGCUCCCCGAGGCCUGGAUUGUCGGCGUCGGCACCUGCGUUCUACCCGACGACGGCCUCGAGCUCUUCCACGCCGGUUAUGCCGGCCGUUCCAGGAUUCCUGAGCCCACCGCUUCUUGUUCCGACUUUCCUCCGGAGAUGCUCUGGCAUCAUCCUUGUGGAGAACAGAAGAUCAAAGGAGGACGGCCGGACCUUCUUGGUCGUGAGUUUGGUAUUCUUGCUGAACAGAAGAGGUUGAUUCAGAGACAUUUAGAUCUGAAAGAAGAAAUGCAUUUGCGCCAUAACAAGGAGAUCGAGAAUGCCUUCAUUUCGGAGACAAGGCUGGCCCGGGGUGUGGAGCAAGAUCUGCUUGGGGACUGCAAGAAGGCCGUGCUAGUGCAGCAAGAUCAAUCUGGAAAAGAAGAAGAAAGUCAUCAGUGCCUGAGGCAGCUGCAAGACGUCAACGGCGAGCAGCUUGUGGGGGUGCCGAAGCUGGGUCUUCCUGGAGCUGAAGAAAACGUUGCAUGCAACAACACUGCUUCCCAUAAAGAAUUCAGUGAAUUUCCAGGUCCAGAUAUUAAGUUUGGGAGCAUCAACAUCAGAGAUAUACCAUUGCUGCAGGGAAGGCAAGCUGCAGUUAUUCUGCCCAAUCCUCAGCUAGAUAGAAGAACUUCCGGUUUAACUCCAGCUGGAGCCAGUUCCCUGGAUCAGGAGACAGAUCAGGAGCUGAAUGAAAAGCUUUUGUAGUAGUUAUGAAAUAGUUACUCAGAUCGUGCUCCUGUGGACUUGUGCAGUUGUGUUGUGCUGUACUUACAAAUCUGUCUUAAAUUGGGCAUUUGUCAUGCUGAAAAGAAUCCGCUGAAGAUAGUGGUAAACUGGUACACAAAAUUCUGUCUUGAAACACCCAUUAGGCCAUUAGGCCCAUUAGUCAGCAAGAACAUGUUGAAGGCAGUGUCACCCUGCUGUGCAUUAUAUAACUCAGAAUAGCAAGUAUUCUUUGGCUGUUUGUACUGAACAAUAGCUCUGGUAGCUACAUUCUGUAAAUUUUUUUGCCUUCUGGAAAUGAAAAUCAGCAAGAACAUAUACUGUC
rnacentral:lncRNA from 3 species